rnacentral:rRNA from 1 species
UACAGAGGUCUCAAGCGUUGUUCGGAUUCAUUGGGCGUAAAGGGUGCGUAGGCGGCGGGGCAAGUCUGGUGUGAAAUCCCGGGGCUCAACCCCGGAACUGCACUGGAUACUGCUCUGCUAGAGCACUGGAGAGGGAACUGGAAUUUACGGUGUAGCAGUGAAAUGCGUAGAUAUCGUAAGGAAGACCAGCGGCGAAGGCGAGUUCCUAGACAGUUGCUGACGCUGAGGCACGAAGGCCAGGGGAG